CACGGGGGGAGCAAGGCGUUGUUCGGAAUCACUGGGCGUAAAGGGCGUGUAGGCGGUCAGGUAAGUGAGAUGUGAAAUGCCCCGGCUCACCCGGGGACCGGCAUCUCAUACUGCUUGGCUUGAGUACGGGAGAGGAUGUGGGAAUUCCUGGUGUAGCGGUGAAAUGCGUAGAUAUCAGGAGGAACACCGGUGGCGAAGGCGCACAUCUGGCCCGAUACUGACGCUGAGGCGCGAAAGCUAGGGGAGCAAACGGG
rnacentral:rRNA from 1 species